UGGGGAAUUUUGGACAAUGGGCGAAAGCCUGAUCCAGCAAUGCCGCGUGUGUGAAGAAGGCCUUCGGGUUGUAAAGCACUUUUGUUCGGAAAGAAAUGGCUCUGGUUAAUACCUGGGGUCGAUGAUGGUACCGGAAGAAUAAGGACCGGCUAACUACGUGCCAGCAGCUGCGGUAAUACGUAGGGUCCAAGCGUUAAUCGGAAUUACUGGGCGUAAAGCGUGCGCAGGCGGUUGUGCAAGACCGAUGUGAAAUCCCCGAGCUUAACUUGGGAAUUGCAUUGGUGACUGCACGGCUAGAGUGAGUCAGAGGGAGGUAGAAUUCCACGUGUAGCAGUGAAAUGCGUAGAGAUGUGGAGGAAUACCGAUGGCGAAGGCAGCCCCCUGGGAUAACACUGACGCUCAUGCACGAAAGCGUGGGGAGCAAACAGG
rnacentral:rRNA from 1 species